CCGAUGUCCCCAUCGGUGUCCCCAGCUGUGCCCAGAUGUCACCUCCGGGUGUGCCCCGACGGGCCCCCGGAUGUGUCACCCCAGAUGUGGCCUCCAGGUGUGUCCCAAGGGCCACCCAAUGCCUUGCCGUCACCCAUCCAGAUGUUCCCAGUCUGCCCCAGAUGUGACCCACCGCAGCCCCCGUGGAUGUGCCCCAGAUGUCACCGUAGUGUCCCUGAAGUGUCCCCUAAUGGCACCCGCGAGUGUCACCCCGGUGGGCCCGGAUGUGUCCCCCCAAAUGUGUCCUGCGUGGACCCCAUGUCUCCAGAUGUGCCCCAGGUGUGGCCGCCGUCACUGCUGGUGCCACCCAGAUGUGGCCCCGAUCUGGCUCCAGAUGUGGCCCGGACGCUCCCCCGGUGCGGUGCCUGGGCCACGCCCCAAUGUCACCCGUCCUGGUGUCACCCGUCCCACCCUGGUGUCACCCGUCCCACCCUGGUUUCACCCAUCUUGUCCCAUCGUGGUGUCGCCCAUGCCGUCCUGGUGUCACCUGUCCCAUCGCAGUGUCACCCGCCUUGGUGUCACCCGUCCUGCCCCAUCGUGGUGUCACCCAUCCCAUCCUGGUGUCACCUGUCCCACCCCACUGUCAUUUGUCCUGUCCCAUCUGUGUCACCCAUCCAAUCCUGGUGUCACCUGCCCUGGUGUCACCCAUCCCACCCUGGUGUCACCCGCCCCGGUGUCACCCGUUCCAUCACUGGACUCUCUGGGGGCUGCAGGAGGUUUAUUGCCACCGCCAACGUCCCCGAGCGCAGCCGGGGGGCCAGGACUGGGGGGACAGGAGGUCCCAUGGGUGCUGGGGGUCUCCUGGCUUUCUUGGGGAUUCAUGGGUGCAGGAGGUCCCAUGGGUCCAGGAGAUCCCAUGGGUCUAGGAGGUCCCAUGGGUGCUGGGGUCUCCUGGCUUUCUCGGGGACCCAUUGGUCCAGGAGGGCUCAUGGGUGCUGGAGCUCCCGUGGGUCCAGGAGCUCCCACUGGUCCAGGAGGUCCCUUGGGUGCUGGAGCUCCCAUGGAUCCAGGAGCUCCCAUGGGUGCUGGGGUCUCCUGGCUUUCUUGGGGAUCCAUGGGUCCAGGACAUCCCAUGGGUGCUGGAGCUCCCAUAGGUCCAGAAGAUCCCACAGAUGCUGGAGCUCCCAUGGAUCCAGGAGCUCCCAUGGGUGCAGGAGAUCCCACAGAUGCUGGAGCUCCCAUGGAUCCAGGAGCUCCCAUAGGUCCAGAAGAUCCCACAGAUGCUGGAGCUCCCAUGGAUCCAGGAGCUCCCAUGGGUCCAGGAGGUCCCACAGGUGCUGCAGCUCCCAUGGAUCCAGGAGUUCCCACGGGUGCAGGAGGUCCCCGGGACGCUGGAGCUGGCAGAUCCCCCGGCGCGGUCCGUCCCCGCGGUGGCCCCGGUGGCCCCGGUGGCCCGGUCAGCAGCUCCAGGGACGCUCGCAGAGCCACCCGCCGGGGGACGAGGCGCAGGCCCGGUCGGCCCAGCGUCCUCCGACCCCCAUGGUCACGCAGUCCUCGCCCGUCCCGGCCUCGUCCGGCUGCUGCCGGGCCCAGUUCCUGCCCGGCACCGCGCCGUUGUCACCGGCGACCCCGUGUCCUCCCGCAGCACCCGGAGCCACCACCGCCGUGUCCCCCCAUGGCUGCCCGUGUCCUUGUGGCCUCCGU
rnacentral:lncRNA from 1 species